rnacentral:ncRNA from 1 species
UUUAGGGGUGUCCGAAUAUAAAGGACUGAGAUUAUACCCGUUGAACCUGAUACAGUUUGUACUGACGUAGGGAAAAGUAGAA